AUUGAACGCUGGCGGCAUGCUUUACACAUGCAAGUCGGACGAGUGGCGAACGGGUGAGUAAUAUAUCGGAACGUACCGUGUAAUGGGGGAUAACUAAUCGAAAGAUUAGCUAAUACCGCAUAUUAUUCGAGCGGCCCAUAUGUGAUUAGGUAGUUGGUGGGGUAAAGGCCUACCAAGGCGACGAUCGGUAGCGGGUCUGAGAGGAUGAUCAGCCAAACUGGGACUGAGACACGGCCCAGACUCCUACGGGAGGCAGCAGUGGGGAAUUGUGCGCAAUGGGGGCAACCCUGAUCCAGCCAUGCCGCGUGAAUGAAGAAGGCCUUCGGGUUGUAAAGUACUUUCGUUAGGGAGGCGUUACCUGAAGAAUAAGCACCGGCUAACUCCGUGCCAGCAGCCGCGGUAAUAC
rnacentral:rRNA from 1 species